rnacentral:misc_RNA from 1 species
GAUGAAGAACGUAGCGAAAUGCGAUAAGUAAUGUGAAUUGCAGAAUUCAGUGAAUCAUCGAAUCUUUGAACGCACCUUGCACCCUUUGGCAUUCCGAAGGGUAUGCUCGUUUGAGUGUCAUUGUACUCUCACUCUCCCGAUGCUUUUGGAUCGGGAGUGGUGGACUUGGGUGUUGCUGCUUUGCUGUGGCUCGCCUCAAAUGGAGUAGUGCAACUCUUGGUUGGACAUAGUACGGCGUGAUAAGUGUCUUCGCCGGCGCCUCAUUAUAGAGGGUGGCCGAUCGGGAGCUCUGUGCUUCAAACCGUCUUCGGACAACAUCUGAUAACUUGACCUCAAAUCGAGUAGGACUACCCGCUGAACUUAAGCAUAUCAAUAAGCGGAGGA